CAGCUUGCUUCAGUCAUUGUUUAUUUCACUCUAACUCCUCAUUAGAUCUUACUGCUCACUCGUGUUACGUGCUGCAUGCUUUAUUGCGCGGGGCUGCUGUUCUGAGGUUCACUUACAGUAGCAGGCAGGAAAUCAUGUUCUCCCCACAACGUUCAGAGUUUCCAGCUCCAAAAGGUCAUUGUAGGAAAGUCUGUGUGAGGAAGUACAAUAAAGGAGUGGAAAAUAUCUAAACGAGUGUCGCCGGUUUGCGGAGGCCACACAAGAACAGUCAUCCCUGUCGCUCUGGAGAUGGAGGAGGAAGUAAUCCCCCUGGCUCGUGAGUUUCCGUAUUAAGCAAGAAGAGGGUUGUGUCACUUACUUAACAAAAUACAAAAUGAGCUUGUACGUUUCAAACUGCUCAUUUUCACCGGUCAGUCCAAGGCCCUGAUUGAGCAAAGCAACAAAGCUGCAUUGUCUCCCAGCAAGCCUCACCAGCCCAGGUACAACACGGCAUCCUGAGAGCACAGCUCUAACACACACCUUCAUUUGCUACCAUCAUAAAAGAAAACAACCUGAGCCCUUUGACUGCUGCUUAAAAUAACUGCAAAGGGCUUCUCACAUGGAGAAUUAAUGGGGGGGAGCACUGAAACCAAACAGAAAUGUCCUCAUCUGAGAGAUGUGGCUGUGUCGCAGCAUUAUAACCAUGGCAGAGCCUUUACUGUGAUGUGCUAGAGGUCAGAUGGAAAACUCUGGUUUGCCUCUUUAAUCUUAUGUUUAUAAUUUGAUAGCAAAGCAUUUUUUGCAGUGACUUGUUACUUGAGCGAUUGUACAUAUAAGUAAUUGUUUGCGUGCCAUAUUAAGGAAAAAAAUAAUAUAGUCUACACAGCAACAUGGUUGAAAAUCCUUUUGCAGUAAUACAUUGACAUAGCAUUUAUAAUAUCGGAUGAGUUUGUCACGUAAAAAUGGUAAUGUCCAUGUAGAAAACGACUAAUGUUUUAUGCUAUUUCUCUCCCAGUCAUUAUGCACCUGUUGUCUUAGACUCCAGUUAUUUAUUUAGUAACUGUAGCUGUAAAGGCACCUUUAUGGACUGUUAGUACAACUAGAGCUUUUAUCUAUUUAUGCUAUCUUAUAGCAAUAGGCUAAGGCAGACUUUGUUUAAUUGGCCCUCCUCACCUUUAGCUAUGGAAAAUGUUAAUUAGCCAGAAGAACUGGGGAGCAGCACAGUGGAAACUUCUUACAAACAAACUGUUAGGAAAGAAAUGUGACCUUAACAAAACGGAAGCUGGAAGCAUUAGGCACCCUGUAAAUAGUUUGGGGUUACGGUUCCUGAAUGGGGAAGAACGGGUUGCAGUCCCUGAGUAUUGUCAUGGCCAAAACUGCUCAGGAACGUAGCAAGUGGAAGAGCUUCCUGUGAGCACCCAGAGCUCCCCGGGACGGCUGCAGCUGGUCCACGUGUGGCCAUCGGGGCCCGUGAGCUGCGAGCCGGAGUGCAGCGACCGCUGCUGCAAGCAAAGGCUUUUAAAGGCCUUGGGACCAGAAGAUGCUGUUGCAACACAGACAACACUUAAACAACAUUAGAGAGUGUAAAUGCAUUAAUACAGUGUAGGUUUCAAAUAUGACAGCGUAAGGCGGAGCCAAUAUAGCCAUGGUAAAUCACUCAGGGCAGCAGUGGCUGAGGUCUCUAAAUGGGUCAAAACCCCAGAGCCAAGCGAUAAGAGCUGCGGCACUUCUGAUCUUAUCGGUGCCAUAAAACGUGACCUCUCGCUGUGCAGGUUUGCAUUGUUCGCAGCCAAGCGUGUGAGCAGGAGAGAGGAUAUUUAUUUAAUGGAGAUUAAAAGUCUUAUUGUUUUACUGCUUUGUUGAACAAAAAGUACAGAGAAUUGUUUCCUAGGACUGUGCUACAGCCGUGGUUUGAUCACACUGAUAGUUGGUUUUAGUGGUUGCUUGUAGCUGCUGGGACUCUUUCAAAACCCUCUCCUGCCCCACGCCGUUUGUUGAGAAAGGAGCCUGUUCUCCUGCUCUGAGCAGCUCUCCUCUCUCUAAGCUCUCUUGCUGCGUCGUUUAACAAAUUAGUUAUUGUCCUGAGCAAAACAAUAUAUUAAACGGGGAUUUUGAGUUGUGUGAUUUUAACCACUUGGUUAAAAACAAACAAGCAAGCGGCUCUGACCCGCAGCUGCGUGUCCCAGACCUCCCCAGCACCGCCGCGUUUCACCUCCGAGAAAUCAGAUCAAACAUAAGUUCAAUUGUUUUGCGAUGAGUUGCAGCGAGGUAGCGCUGUCAGUUUAAUUAGCUCCUAACUCCAGACUAGGAGCUUCUAAUCAAGGGGCUCGGAAGCUGAGGGUUAGGGAAAUAAAAGCCGUGACGGCAGAGCUGUUGCUGGCAGGGCUGAGGCGGCGAUCGUCACAGGCACCGGGGUAGGGAAAACGUCUCUGCAACUCUGAUGCAGAGCACAGAUAGCGGGGAAUCAGCUGGAAAAGGUUACAGGUGUGAACCUGGGCCUUGUGCACAUUGUAUCCAGCCAGCAGUCACCUCUGUGCAUGGCGAGGAGGGCGAAUGAUUAGUAAUUUGUAUUUGAUUGAUUUUCUACCUUUUCUCUCCCUGGCCACCUGAAAGUCUACUGAGGAGAUGAUAAUCUGGAGAUGAGUCAUUCAGUAGGCAAACCCUUCUGCACACAGAUUUUGUGCUGUAGCUUAUGGUACGUAGAUCAUUUGCAGUAUUUGUUGUACAAGUUUAUAACUGUUUUUAUUGGCCUUUUAAGUCUUGGGCAAUAUUACGACACCCUCACUGGCAGGACAGUAAAUGUAUAAAUCAGAUGUUUACCAUGAUGAAUCAACUGUUACGACUUUCUAAAGCUUUGUUUUCUGAAAGUAUUUGCUCUCUUUGUCUGAAACGUAUUGUUCGUGCCAACACGUUCCCUGAGAAGUUUGCAAAAAACACCAAAGACAAAACAGAUACAAAGGAAGAAACACAUGUUUUUAAAUGGGAGUCUCAUUAUUCUAAAAACGUUUAUAUGUUUAAGUCUCCAAAUAUGAGCAAUUGUUUCGUUUUACUGAGACAGACUUGCAGCCAAACUAGGCUUGACAUGAAUUAGUAAGAAAGACCUUCUGAAAUCUGCUGCUACAGGAGAAACAUGUUGCUGUAUCCAAAACAUCCAGAGGGGAAUUAUGCAGAGAUUACUCAUCACCGGAGCAAAGGCUUAAUUGCAAGUUCCCAGCACUGAUUUGCGUCUGGGCCACAGCACCGGCUUCUCUUGCUGUGCACGUUCCCUUGGGCAACAGGAAAAGGCUUUUGCCUCCCCUGCCACUGGUGUUGGCCGGGACUGGACUCUGAUUGCACCCAUGAUGAACGUGUUUGUAUCCGUGAAGUGAGCGCCCUGAGGGAGGUCCCGUCAUUACAGCCCAGGCUGGUGAGCAGCAAGAAUGGAGCCCCGACCCUAAAGCCGGACUGCGCGCUCGCCUCUCGGCUGCGCCUUUCGUUGGCCGAGCUCGCGACGUCUGCUCUGCUGGAUGGGAGCGAACUGGACAGCUCGAGCUCCUGCGCGAUGGAGGUGAUUCGGGAUGGCUCUCUGCUGCACACCUGCUGUGAACCUUCAAAUCCCGACCCACAGCACCCGCUUCUGGAACACGCAAUAAAAACUGUAAUUAAAAACAAUGCUUUCACCUCUGUGGUAAGGUCUGGAAAUACGGCAUGGAGGUAUGUGGAUGGCUGAGAAACUGAGAAAUAAUAAUCUAAAAUCAAAUUAAAGGAACCACAGGCUGUGUUAGUCUUAAAAAUUUCAUGACUUCAAAAGAGAUUUGGUGAUGGUCAAAUACUGGAAGCAAAGGUUCCUGCUCUGCUCGUUUGCUUUUCUGGCAGUUGGUGUUGACAACAAGCACAUAAAGUUGUACGUAAUUUUAGAAAAAUAAGCAAAACAUAAUUUAGUAUGUUAUGUAGCUUCUAUUGACUAUUUCUCAGCUCAAAACCAAGCUAUAAAGGAGUUAAUGCAGUUUCUACAGAGGCAAGCCCAUUGUCUGUGCUCCGUGCUGCUGGAACCGCUCCACCGCUCCUGCUGCGGCCCAGCUGACUCACACUCUGUCUGGAAAAGGAGAGUCUCACAUCUUUAUUGCCUCCACCUCGGUUUAACUGUUGGUACACGGCUCCAGGAGCUGCUCAGGGAAUCCUCUUCUGCCUCGUGAUCCUGGCGGGUGACGUUAUGGGCUUUGUGCCCUGGUUCUCCCUGCUCCGCCUGACCCAGGAUCCACAGGUGACGGCACGGGGACGCCUGCGGCACGUGGCACAGAUGGGAAGGUGGCAGCCAGCCACGAGCAAGGUGUACGAGAGACCCGCGUGUUUGGGGUUGUCAGCCCCAGGAGCCUUCACUUCCCGUUCAUUUCUGCCUAAGGGAGCGCCCAGCAGUGCCCGUCCUGCUGCCAUCGCGCCCGUUCCCAGCUCCGGCAGCUCCAGGGCACUGGGGACAGCAGAGCCAGGCUGCCCGGACACCCCACUGCGCCGUGAUUCACCUCGCCCAAGGCAGCUGAUGGAAGGGGUUCUGGCGGGGUGGCUCUGUACGACUGGCACUUGGAUUUGGAGAGUUAGCAGUAGGUGUUUCGAGUCCCGUCUCCAUGGAGCAUGAAUACAAGUUUCAGCCAGGAAAUGUCCACACGCAAAUACAUCUCAGAAUUAUUCAACAGGUAAGAGGACCACCCUUUGUUUCUAGGGGAAUGAAUUUUCAAGGGGAAAAAACCAAGGUCCCCCCAAAAAGAUGCAACAACUUGGGGAUGUUCAUUGUUAAAUUAAGAAAACUAGAAUAAAUCAAAAGUUCGUAUCUUUGGGGAGAAAAGAGAUGGAAAGAAUAGGAGGAAAAGCACAGAUAUCAUUAGAACAAAACCCUAAAGUUGAAAAAAGUCCUAAACAAAUUAAAUUAUACAUGUAAGGAGCACAAACAGAUAUCUACUUUGAAAAGAGAUUUAACCCAGUUCUUCAAAGAAACAAAGCCCAGCAGUAAUUAGUGAGUGCUUUUAUCUCUUCUGGAUUAGAGUAUCCCAUAAAGCUGAAUUCCUAGAGGUGAUGUUCCUCCUCCCCAAAUAUAAAUCACUAGAAGACGCUGUGCAAACCUUUCCCUGCCCCAGCCCUAUAGGAGCCCCUGGAUUCCCACUGCUCGGGCUGUGCUUGUUUUGCUUAUCAGAAACUCAGCUGUGAGCAGCCCCCGAAUGGAAAGAGGAGAAAAGGAACCUCAGGAAACCAGGACUUCUUUGAUGUUCCUAUGAGUUACGACUCAGGGUGUAAAAUCCCACUGGUCUCCAGCGGUUUGAGACAAUACUGACGUUUUCUAACUUCUUCGUGAGAGCGAAGUGGGAGCGUCAUGCGGGCAGGCGCUACAAGCAAUCAUUUUCUGUCUCUCUGGGUAUGUGCACCCUGGCCAAGCAGAGUGAAAUCAGUCCUUCAUAUAGAAAGUGCACGUCGCGCUGCAGCGUGAUGGGCAAAACUGCGUGGCUGCGGAGCCCAGACCUCUUAAAACCCGAGCUCAGAGCAGGAUACGGAUCCCUGUCCAACCCCAAGGCCUGGGGAAAGCCCUUAUUUACUCUUUGUAGGAAGUUUCAUGCCAGGGCUGACCCAUGAAUGACUUGUGCCAGCUGCUUAGGUGCUCUUUUUAUGACAUGAGUAAAUAUGUCGUAAAUCCUUGAGGGGGAAAAAGCUCGGCACAUCUCACGCUUGCAUGCAGUCAUGCAACUGUAUUUCAAUAUACAUUUGGCUUUACGCCUUUGGAGUUCCCGGAGCACCCGUGACCCCGCAGGGGGGCGGCAGGCAGGUGGUCCGGGGCAGCCGGUGCGCUGCUGCUGUUGUGCCGUGCGGCCACGGCAGCGCGGGUGCGGAGACCCCGCCCCGGCCGCGCUGCGGGACUUCUGCCGCUUGUUGCCCUUCGAGAGAAAAAGAAAAGGAAAAUGAAUCAUCAUCAGCAAUGUAGGUCAGGGUGGAAAAUACAACUGGGGAAAUGUUCCCAAACUACUCUGGAAAAAAUUAAGAUCAAUUCGUGUGCCACCACCUCUGACAUUUUAGCCAACAGACUGGAUACCAGCAGCCCAAAAUUUACAAGUUGAGCCGAGUGGAUGUUAAGCACCCAGACCAAGAGUGGCAAACAUUGCCAGAGAUUUUCUCCAGCCAGUUCCUGCAGCGCAGACGUGCUCAUCACUCUUCUGUGGAUUUAGAUGGUUCCCAGUGGGCAGCUCCUUUUUCUUUAGUUCCUGUGCUUCAAGAGACUGAAGUCUAUCUGUUUCGGCAGAGGUGCCCGGGCUCCGAGCUGUCAGCAAAGUUCACAUUGGUAGCAUUAAUCAUCUGGUAGUUGCCGUUCUCCAUUUCCUUGUGCUAGCCUGUGUUCUCAGCAGAGAUCUCUGACCUGGACGAGGAGGACUAAGAGGCAGCUUCAGGCCGAGCGUGGGAAGGGAGACCCGCGGGGGGCCGUGCCGGUCCCGUGGGGUUUUAACCGCGCUCGAGAUGUGGGGCAGCUCCAGCCACCACAAACUCCUCACCAGGACACCAGUGUCUGCAGGUUUUGCUGCACGUUUUGCAGCGCAGGACCAAGCCGGGGCUGGGAGGCUGUUUUGGAAAUGAAAACUCACCACUUCCCAAACUUGCAAACACGGGACCUUGCUGUUAGCAUGGCAACCUCCCACACCACCAGCUGCGAAACUCACCGUUCCUGCACAGCCAAAGAGUACCUCGCCUUUCCAGCUAUUUCCUUGCGUAAAUCCAUGAUGCCUAAGUUAGGGCUUUGGGGCUGGUUGUUCGUUCGGACAUGUACGUAGGCAAGAAGGCAUGUUUAUUUUGCUCACCACGGUUGUCACACAGAACAGAUACAGUUCUUCUGGCAUCCUUAGGCACAACUUUCUUUUCUCUGUUUCUACUUCUAACAUCUUUUCCCUUAGUACUGAGAUAAGUUACUGAGAUUAAAUGAGCUGAAGUCAUCUUGGGAAGGCUUAUUAUUAUUAUUAAGGUAAGUUCCUGUCUUUAGUAACAGGGGUAAUUAUUAGUAAUAGUGUCAUUUACUGUUUAAACAGUGUUUUCUGUGCACAGUACUUUACAAACAGAUAAAAAUUAUUGUAGUUAUUUUAUUGAGAUAAAACUUCACAAACUCAGCAGCUGUGAUCACUGUGCUCUGUUUAAGGAUGAAAUAGCACGUCUGUAAAACAAUGUCACGUUCCAAAGUAGAAUGAAGCAUCACGCCACUUCUGAUGCCACGGGUACGUGUGAGGCGAGCUGUGAAUCUGGAAGCACUCUUGAUCGCACCACAGCGUUUGAGAAGUCUGAAGGAGGGAGGAUGAGUGAGACAGCACCACAGGAGACAGAGGGAGGGCCAGGCUAGAGCUGCGAGCUGAGCCCAGGCGUGCAAUGGCGUGUCUGCACGGUUUUUCAUUCCGAGCCAAACAUGUAGCAGAACCAGCAGUAAAUAAUUCAUUUCUCUCUGUGCUUUCAGCUUCACAGCCCAGGCAGUGAAAGGCACUGAGUGGCCGUGUGUGGGUGCUGUCCUAACCAAGCACGGGGUUGUCUUCAUCAGAAAUGCAGAGACACGUCACAGCGCAGCUGCCCCGCAGAGCGGUGCCCGGGGCCCUGGGUGCCCGGGGCCCUGGGUGCCUGGCCCAGCUUUGUUCUGCUCACACGGCUCUUUCCGUCCUCCCUUCUCCGUUCAGCAGGUGUGGCCACAUGGUGCUCUGCCAGCGGUGGCAGCAGCCCCAGGCAGGCUGGGGUGAGGAUCUCCUGGUGACAAGCUGAGCAGCCAAAUGGGAAGCGACACUGAAAACAGGCAUCGGUUCACCCAGCACGCGGAAAACUAAUGUUUGCUGUAUAUCGUAGGUAAGUCUCUAAAGCAAGGCAGCUUGCAGCCAGAGGAACCCGUAUCUGUAAAAGUUAUGUUCUUCACUGUCGCAAACCGUUGAGCUUGAUAUAGACAUUGUUAGGGUUCAUCCUCUGCCCUGGAUUACGGACAGAGGCAGCCAGGACAGCCACAGCAUUCGGUCCUGCAAUUACAGUGUCUGGUAUGGAGCGGCUGUCUCAAGUGCCUGGCAUUUUUUUAUUAGUAUUUAUUUCUAUUUCUGUGCCUUAAGCAUUGUGGUUUCUCUCCAAUACAUUUAUCAGACCUAAGUGGCGCAGCUUUUGCAACAAGAAAACCAGGUCUCAUUGUCUGAAAAAGGCGAAGGCAGAUAGUUGAGGUUUGGUGUUCAGAUGUGUCUGUCUUAGCUGCUCUAUUUCAAAAUUAAAAAGUAGAGAGCCUAAAAAUACAUGGCUGAAAUCCUUUUCUGAUUCCUAGGCCAGCUUCUGAGAGGCAGGAAUUUAAAUCGGCCCAGCAAGAGCGAGCGCCGUGUCCGCUGAGCUGUGCUGGGCGCUCUCUCGUCGUGGGGCUGGGGCUGGUCUCGGAGCACACACCAAGCGGCGCUCACCCUUCCUCAAUCCGGUAUUUCUCCAAAACCAAGUCCUGGCGGGGGGUCCGCAGCCCCGGGCAGUGAGGGGCUGAGCAGGCAGACGAGGUGCCGCUGCUCUGCCACAUCCCUACACUCGUGCCAUCUGCAGAAGGCAGCAGUGCUGACUGCUGCAGCACUAGAUAAUGCUCAGUGGCUGCUGUUGCUGCUCUCCAUCAUUACCAGACACAUCGCUUUAAGAAGUUACAACUUCCUGGAAUGAUGUGAAAAAUGAACCGUUUAGAGCAGCAGCGAGUAAUAGGUAAUUGCAGGCUGGAGCAUCUUUAAUCACUUUCAGCCUUAAGUACAUUUUUGAAGAGUGUGGCUCAUUAUUACCUUGCAGAUCUUGACGGAGUUGUACGUUUUUAGUAGCCUAGAUUACAAAUGAAAAAAAAUUGUGUAUAGACGCGGUACUGGUUGGCAAUUAUGGCACAGCUUGGGCUGGGGGGCAGUCUCGACUCCUGCUCUGCUGCAGGCUUUUGUGGGACCAAGGGCAAGUCACCGAGACGUUUGUGUAUGGAGGGGCUAUGGUGCUGCAGUGCCUGCAGUUUCGGGUCCCCUGCAGUCUAGGUGCUGUGAAAUCAGAUCCCUAAAGCAUGUAAAUGUGUAAUGAGAAAAAGAGUGACCCAUGAGAGUCUGUGUGUGGACCAAGAAUUAUGGACAUGAGCCAGCAGAAAGGGUGAAGUGUCGGGUCACUGCUGCCUGGAGAAAGGCACUGAACUUCUUCUGGGACCUCCAGUAAAUGCAGUAAGUCCUGCUGUUGAUUCAGCUCUGCAUUUCCUGCAGCACCAUUUCUCAUCUAUAAAUAGUAAGUGUCUUUUCAUUUACCCAGACAAAUGCAUUGAUACAAGGAGCUCAACUCCAGCUUUCAAGUCAUGUAUAAGUAGACAUUUAAUAGAAAAAGCAUGAAAUGGACAUUUUCCUUUCAAUUCAUAUUCACACAGCUUGUUUUGCAGAGCCUGGGUAUGCUUCCUAUCUGCACAACAUGGCACCUGGGACCAGCCAGGACGGGACUGACUGGGUUUGCUUUGCCGAAGGUCUCCAGGCCCCAUAGCUAUGUCCUCCCCACGGUUUUCUCAGUGCCCGCCUGUCCUCUCCCAUCUCCGGGCCGCGCUGUCUCACCCGCAGGACCAUGGGGCAGCAGAUUCUCAGUGAUGGCAGCACCUCUGCCUGCAACUUGGAAAGCGAAGGACCCACACCACCUGGCUGCGGUGCGGGGCAGAGGUGAACCCGCGCUCCAGCCACAGGCAGAUGCCACCAGCCCUCGCGGUGUUCUCCCGAGAGCAAAUGGAGUCCUCUUCCCCUCCUCUGGUGGUGAUGAAAGGCCGGGAGGGACAAGCGAUCCUCUGCCUACAGCCAUGCACGGGGAUGUGAGCUACCUCAACUGAGCAUCUGACCCCCACAUGCUACGUUUCCAGGUCCCCAGCAAUGAAGAGAGAUUGCAGUGCAGCGUUCUCCGGAUUACUGUGCCACCUCUGUUGAACUGGAGCAUCAACCAUAUAAAUCUUGUGUAAGCUUCUGGCCCCAUUUCAGCCAGUUCACGUGUUAUCUGAAGUGCACUCAGCAGCAAAGCGCUCUGGAGGCUGUUCUUUUGGAUUUUCUGUUAGUGCAAUGCAAGGCGACGCAAAUUUGAAUUCACAUCAACGACACCAUCAUGUUUGCCAUAGGUAAUUAUAUGCAGACAUAUUACGUCUUCCUCUAGAAUGUACCUAUGGAUGGUCUGCAAACAACACUGAAGUUUACAUCUUAAAGGUAAGGUUUUUUUAAAACGUGGCCCUAUGCGUAUGUGCUCUCCAUUUUGCUUGCUUAAUUCAGCUGUCAAAUUCUAACGUCUCACGUUCUCCCAGACAAAACCAUCUCUCCAAAUUGCCUCAAACUGUGACAGUAAGUCACAAUGUCGAUUCUCCUAGCUAGCCAACUGUGCUGCUUAAUUAGGGUGCCUUUCCAAAUCACCUUCGGUAGCAUCGUUGUAACAUAUGGGAUGAGGUUUAGCUAUGUGGUCCGAACCCAGAAACAAAGCUUAGCGCUAAUUGUCUGAACACACGGAGACCCACAGCACAACGGCGUGGGACGUCUGCUCCGGCCUCCAGUCCUCUGGGACAGGCACGGAAAAGCUUUUUGCACGUGGCCCUGGGGAAGAGAAAGGGACAAGUUUGCUGGGGAAAAAAAGAUAUAUAUAUAUAUAUAUAUAUAUAUAUAUAUAUAUAUGUAUGUAUAUCUGUUUCCUGUCUUUAUUGCACUGGGGGUGGAGAAACCAACAUUUCUCUACUCUCUCCUUGGACAUUUUUUCAGAUAAACAGCCGCCUUUCUUCUCCGUGCAGGCCCACUGCUCAGCUUCGUUUAGAGAAGCAGGAGUUCAAAGUGCGCCAUGGGCUUCAGAGGGAGGAAAAGUGGCAGAAAUCCUCCCAGGACAAACAAAAGGAAACCACAGGACUUGAUCCAAGGAGCUCCGUGAAUCCAACAUGCGUAUGAGUUGAGUUGCGCCGCAGCCCAGCUGAAGGGUAUCGAAAUGAAAUCUUCUCCAGGAAAAUCUCCAUGUUAGCACUAUGGAACUUGAAGUUUCAGCUUUAAAGGUCGUCUGGUUUUAUCAAGAUGCCAUUCCGUGCAUUCUCGGUGGUAUUGACAGCAUGCGGUGGGUGAUCUUCCUCCAGCAACCGGACAUGGUGUAUGCAAACAACCCCAAAAUAAUGGACAUUCCUUUUGCAUUUUAAUUUAGCACUGUUUAACUGAUACACUUUGCAUAUGUGUUUAGAACACAAAGAACAGCUCUGGCCUCCUGAGUGGAUUCUGUCACUGGGUUUCAGCAAGUAAAUCAACUCCCUGAUCCUCAGAAAGAGGACGACUGAGCGCAAUAAAUGCUGCAAAACAUGAAAUUGUGAGUUGAAAAUGCAGUGAUACAGAGAAUAAGGCUAAAACAUCUCUGAGAUGUUAAAGAGCGUGUUGAUAGCUGCAUGCAUGGAAGACGAUGAAGUUCAUCCGUAUUGAGAUAAAGUCAUUCGCUUAAUGUUUAGGAGUAUUUCAUACCCUCUGUUUUCUCUCCAGAAAAGCUUUCAGUAAGUCACAAUAUAAAUAUGGUUUGUCAAUGAACCAUAGGCCUGGACCGAUACCCUUCCUGCUGCAGGUGCUGUAAUAACUGAAAGGUAUUCUCAUAACUGUGAUAAGGACAGGGGUGUUUUUUUCAUUUAUGCAAGUGAAAGGUGCUGUUGUCAUCUGAUGAGUUGACUGAGCUUUCUGUAUUUGUGGCAAAAAUCCGAAUAUUCCUACGGCAUCCUGCAGUCAGCAGUUUCACAGCACUGGAUAUUUGCAAAAGAGCCUCCACAUUAUAAUUCGGUGACACAUAAAUCUGCUGCUCCCUAACUUCCAGCACUGGCCUUUCCAAAUCCAAAGUUAAAUGGAUUCUACCCCAAGAGCUGAAUCGUCACCUCAACUGUAGUGCUUGAGAGAUUUGCUGUUACUGAGGAAACUGGUCUCCUACAUAUUUUUAUGGAAUAAUUUCCCAAGGAUAUAUCUUCAGUGUAUGGGUAAUACAGUAUAUCACAACAUUGUAGCUUCUGGACAGUCCAAUAGAGAUGUAAUCUUAUUUUAGCAGAAAUCUGGAUGCUCAUAGAAAUCUGGAUGCUCUGUGAAAUGGAUAGGAAACCUGGUGCAGGUAUUGUUUGGUAUCUGAAAGUACCUUCACAGCUCAUUAGCUUACAGCAGUGACUUCAGCAGAGUCCCCUCCUCCAUCACAGUAACUCCAUCCUCCUCCAUCGCAGUAACUCCAUCCUCCUCCAUCGCAGUAACUAACUCCAUCCUCCUCCAUCGCAGUAACUCCAUCCUCCUCCAUCGCAGUAACUAACUCCAUCCUCCUCCAUCGCAGUAACUCCAUCCUCCUCCAUUGCAAUAAUGCUCGGGCCCUUUUCUGGUGAGCAACGUUUUUUUUCUUUGUGUAAUAGUAAAAUAAGAAAAUGGCACCUGAGGGUGGUGACUUUCCACUGCAUUUUAGGCCUCCUUAACCCACAUUCAUAGCGUCCUGCAUGCACAAAGGAUCUUAGUCACAAUACCUUAAUCUAUAGUUAUUCAUGGUCGCAGUGAACUCCCUGGUACCAGCACCACUCCUGCACCCCGAUGUUGGCCUGGUUUUUGUCUUGGAUCAUUGUGGAUAGGAGGGAAAACAGUAAAUCAUGUAUAUUAUGUAGAGUAACCCUGUUCUACCCAUCUCCCCCUUCCCUGAGCACACUGGAAACCAGCAGCAGACACCAGUUCCCCACUCCUGUUCUCACCAGCUUCCUCUUGAUCUUCCAUAAUUGCUCUUUUCUCCCUGCAACUUGCACAGAUGUAGAUGGACAUGGGGGACGCUUUGCUGCUGAGCAGGAUGAAAUAUGCACCUCUGACAGACAUGACUGCAACUUGCACUGGCUUUCAAUUGCAGCAGAGUGUGAAAACUGGGCAGGGACACGUAUUCACCUGGGCAGGCGCAGUGAAGAUCGCCAUUCGCUCUGUUGCUUCCGAUACACUCAGCACAGACGCUGCCAACAUGAGUGGCUUUUCUUCAGCAUCACUAUUGUGCUGUGCAACACAGCUGUGAUGUUCAAAUGUUAUCACAAGUACCGUUCUUGCCAUACCUGCACUAGCCACUCAUAUCAAAGAGGCUUUUCAACACAGACCUGCAAACAAUCUCAAAUGGGACCUUUCCCUGACCUGUGACAAGCAGGUGCACGUCUUACCUGUCACACGCUGGGAUGUGCAGCUGCCUGGGGCGCGAUGCUCCAGGCUCACCUUGGCCUAUCAAGAAGUCCAGUCCGCAGCCGUUUUGCUCUGAUAAGCGAGGCCGGGGACCUUGCCUGGCAGUCUGUCUAUUUGUAGAUGCGCUGCAUGGACUCAACCCCAUGUGUAUGCUCAGCUCUCACCCAGAUAAAACAGCCUGUGAUGAAUUCCCAGUAAAGAGCAGCAGUGUGAACAGGGGUUGGAGGACCAGCUCCAAUAACUCGAGAGGCACUUGAGGCUGUCAGGAAGACGCGGCCAUGCGUGAGUCCCCGUGGGUGUUCGGGAGGCUGCUGCUCCUGUAGCAAACUGUUCUCUCUCACGACGAGCACUCUGCAGGCAAAAGACACCAAAGCAGGUCAGGUGCCAAAACCACCCCCCCCUCCCUUUAUUCAGUUUGCCAGAUACAGCUAAAUAAUGAACUGCAUUCAUUUAGUACAAGUCUCUCUUACCUCAUGUCUGAUUCAAUGUAAUAGAGGUACUAGAGAUAAAAUGGGUGCAAAUAGUACUUCAUGUAAUCCAGUGGUACACAGAACUCAAUACACUAAUAAUGAAAGCAGCUUUGGUCAUGUACAGAUUGAAACACACAGAAACCAGAUGAUAUAAAUCUUUCACUUGCAAUGGUAUGUAUAUUUUACCUUAUUUAUUAGGUAAGAUUCACGCGUGUUCUGUUUCCUGUUUAUUGUGAUUCAGUUCCUUUGCUGUAGCCUCAGAGUCUAUAGAAAGAACUAUCAUUCAGGGAAAGCAGAACGUUGGGGUUUUUGGAGCCCCAGUAGCUGAAACAACAGUAACUCACCCUCCAGAACAUCACCACCACCACCUGGCAUUCACAAAUGUGAAUGGAGGAGUUCCGGCACAUACUGCAGACCAAAUGACACUGUCAUUUUUUUUCCUGCCAAAAUACACGUGAAAGAGAAACAGAAUGAAAGAUUUCAAGGAAGAUCUAAAGCAGCAGGAAAGCUCAGGGCACAACCUGAAUAAACAGUGGCACUGUGGUCUUGCUGAGAGCCCGAACAGAGAGCUCUUCUUGGCUCGGCGCUGGCACGGGGGCUUGGUGUUGUGGAUCAAAUGACUUUCUCAUAGUACUUGAUUUCUGUGCUAAGAAUUAGGAUUUUAUGUUAUUUUCAGAUAAACAGAACUACAUUGAACAUACUUGACGCUAUCGUAAUUUUUUUCUUCUUAAGGAAACAAUAAAGUUUUGACUAAUAUUUAGGGGUAAAAAGAAGUGAUGUUAUUGAAUACCUUACCAUAUCAAUUUCCUGUUUUGUUUGAUGGGAUGACUAUGAUUUACAGGAUUUCUUUAUGAGACCCAAUUAAAUAUAGAAUUUAUAAUAUUCAUGCAGUUUCUGUGCCAAAUAUACAUAGUGCUGAUACAGCAGGGAUCUCAAAAUAUCAAGCACCUGCUUGGAAGGAACAGCAUUAUGAAUACAUCUCCUUAAACAAUAAUUCAUCAUACUCAGAAGCCUAAAGUUAAGCUGCUCUAGAGCCAACACAGCUGCUUUAUCAUCUUAUUUGCGGGAUACUGCUGACUUACAGUGCUGGAUCUGAUUCUUGCCACUCAUGACUAAGACUGAAUUCCAGGAUUUAGAAGCCAGAGAAGCAGCACUGACUUUGCCAUGAAGGCUCGUGGCUUUCAGAGGGGAAUCCGAGCUGUGGAUGGUGUGUCCGCACUGCUCACAUAACACACCAGGCAAUCGCAUCGGUCAGAUCAGGGAACCAUCCGAAGCUGAUGUGUUCACAGAGCCUGGGAGAACCUUCGCAAACCUCACCGAGGAAUGCAGGGAAAUCGUCCCUCUCCACCAGGAUCCUCAUCCUUGAUCACCUCCCCCCAGAAAAGACGGUUAUGGGCCAGGGUGUUCCCUAAUUAAAGUCAGCUGAGGCGCCAGCUCAGCGCAGUCGAGACGACACCUUUUUCCCCAGGGAAGACUGCUCUGCUCAGAAUAAUGAAAUUAAUUUUAAUCUGCAUGACUUCCUUGUGAGAGGACUUUGAUCUCACAUAAUUUAGGUUUAUGAUAUUAUUUUUCCAGACAGGCAGCACUAUAGAAGCGAGAGAGCCUGAGAGCACUCACAGCCCAGCUGGGAGCACCUGCGCCCAGUUCAGGAUAUAUAUACGUGAGCAGCAUACGUGGGAUUCUGGGGUACAAAAAACCAGCACCAAGUACGGCAGUGGUUUCCAGUCCAUUUUCACUGCAUGGAAGCAGAAUCCUGCUGUGCCCAUUCCAGACAGGUGUUGGUAUAAUUGGUCCUUUAUAGCUCAGACUUUACAGCAUCCCUUAGCAGCCAGCUUCCCUGAUUAAGUAUACUUCAUUAGGAAGCUUUUCCAAAUCUCUAAUUGAAACCUUUGCUGCAUGUGGAGCCACCACUUUUCCUGCCCCUUUGGUGACCAGGACAAUAUUUCAGAAACAUUCUCUUUGCAGACUUCUUGAUAAUUAGAAACCUUUAUCAUCAGGUCUUUUCAUUUCAAAGCUCUACAGAUUCACCACUUGACAGUUUUUGCUUACAAAAAGUAAAUUUGUUUAAACUUCUUUCUAAUGCCUGUUGCUCUCCUGGGACCAGAGAUACUUGAGCCCUUUCUGCCCCUGUUCACCAACGGAAUGUAUUUCAGACGACUGCUGCUGUGAUGUGGGCACUGAAAGCUCUAUCAGUCAAUACUGGCCUGUCUGAUGCCUUAUGAACGUUGCUGAACUUCUUAGACGUAUUGGGAUUAAAGCCUCCUGAGGAAUUUGAACUAGAGUAUGAGCAAGUCUACCACUGCAAAAUCAACCUGUUGAAAAAUACCAAUCCUACCAGUAGUAUCCACACUUCAAUACAGUUGCUUAUAGUAAAAAUAAAUAAUUAAAAAAAUACAUUAAAAAGAAAAAACCCACAAAACCCAAAGAAACAAAAGCAAACACUCUGAGCAAGAGCUUUUCCAGCCCAGUGCGGGGUUUGCAGGGCAGCUCUGGAUGCCACAGAUGCUUUGAGAGCAUGAUUGCUGGGCAGCCUUUAAAAACCACCCUGGACCAAACAGCUCAGGCCUCUUUCUAUUAAAGUCUGCGCCACUGUGAAGGCAGCGACCGCCCUCGUAUCUCCACGAAAUAACCCUUCGGGUUGGAACAAAUAAGGAGUGUUUCAUCCAGACUGCUAUUGCCUGAAGUGUAAAAAUAGAUUGAGGGCUGUUUUCCGAAACAAAAUGCUGAGCAUGGCAGACUUGGGACGGGGCGAGAACAGAGCAAGAAAACCUCAGAUUUGUUUGAGAUACAGGGAGAUUUGCUUAUCUAAUCCAAACCCCUCUUGUCAGCAUUUUCAUCAUCUCACAUACCGUCCCGCGGUACCUUUUGCUCCCCGUCCGCUGGAGGGUUGGUUCGGGAUGGUUCUCUGACGGCUGCAAUCUCUGCCCGCUGCGUUCCACUGAACCUCCGUUUCAACGAUGCAGAAAAUUAAUUAGGGCAUUUUAUUUCCUUCGCAUGCAGACCUAAAUACUGUUUCCAAGGCUGCAAAUACGGUACCUCUGUAAAUGAAUAAACACAAAAUUAGACUUCUUUUGCAUGAUUUCUGAAGCCGAUAGCAAAAACAACCGUGAUGGGACCUCGACACAGAAUCUGCUCUUUUAACCAUACUCGAAAAACUUCUGUGUACCAAUUACAGAGAUUACAUUGCUCAAAGUGAUGCAGAGAACUAAAUAAUCAGGCAAAUACACGAACCAGAUGUCAGUUCAUCAGACCCAGGGAAGCAGUACUCCGCGGUGAAUGGAAGACGAUCUGUGGGAUGUCCAUUGGCUCAGCCGUAAACUUCCUUCCCGUCAUUGUUUUUUUCUGUGGCCUUUUUGCUCAUGAGUAGCACAGAUCCCUCCGCUGCACUCGGCGCAAGAGCCCAACGAUGGGUUGAGCUGGGCUGGCGGGGACGUGCAGCGAGGAGGCUGAGGCUGAGUGUGGGACUAUCAAUGCUGCGCUCACCUCACCCGCUCCACUCAUGCACCGUGCUCAAACGUUUCAGUGCCAGUAGGACAAAAUGUGGAUUUGUGUCUUUAGCUUCACUCAUGAAAAUCUGUACGGUUCAACAAGCCUUUGGAAAUCCUAGCCAUAUGCAGGUUUUUAGAAGUCAUGCAUUUCACCAGAUGAAAACCUUUGCCAUAUUAGUACUCCGCUACUGAAAAAUACUUGUUUCUACCCAUAUCUAAUAAAUAUAUGGUUGAAGCUCAA